rnacentral:rRNA from 1 species
GACGAACGCUGGCGGCGUGCUUAACACCUGCAAGUCGAACGGAAAGGCCCUGCUUUUUUGGGGUGCUCGAGUGGCGAACGGGUGAGUAACACGUGAGUAACCUGCCCUUGACUUUGGGAUAACUUCAGGUAACUGGGGCUAAUACCGGAUAGGAGCUCCUGCUGCAUGGUGGGGGUUGGAAAGUUUCGGCGGUUGGGGAUGGACUCGCGGCUUAUCAGCUUGUUGGUGGGGUAGUAGCUUACCAAGGCUUUGACGGGUAGCCGGCCUGCGAGGGUGACCGGCCCCGUGGAGCCUAAGAGAGAGCCCAGACUCAGAAGGGAGGGACUGGUGGGGAAUAUUGCCCAAUGGGCGGCAGCCAGAAGGAGCAAAGCCGCAUGCUGGAUGAGGGCCAUCUGCUGGUAAGCAGCUUUUGCCUGUGACAAACCGUGAAAGACGGUAAUGGGUGAAGAAGCACCAGCUAACUACGUG